GACGAGGGACAAGCUUACUAGUAACAAAACCACAGGUAAACAAUCAAGUUGAUAUUAAAAGGAUGCAAUAUCAGUUAUGACAUGUUCUCAUAUUGAUUGUAUAUUAUGCUGAAAUGUGUCAAAUUGUUGGUUAAACCAGAAAUGCUGUUCUUUAGCAACGUUUAUAUUUCACACUCGUGUAAUGCUCUGUGUUUGAGGUUCUCAGAAACCGCACUGUUGGGACUGAAAUAAAAAGCAAAAAAAUGGAGCCAGCACACAUCUUUAUAGCAGUGUUACCAAUAUUGUUUAUUUCAUCCCUCGCAUUGCGAAUCAUUGUUGAACACAAGUUACAUUUUCUUCUCAAUAGAACAGGUUUCUGUUAAAUAAAUCUUGCCCUCUACCAUCCAGUUUCACCUCCCUCUCUCCUUUUAAACAAACAAAAAAGCAGAUUGUAUUAUACAAAAAUGCAAACCAAUUUUCACACAGUGAAUUCUUUUACAAAGUCAUAAAAUGGCGUAAUAAUGGCUACAUCCACAUUGGAGUAAGAUGGUUCUAAACAUUCCUUAAUGGAGUAUAAUAUAUAUUUAUAUAUAAAACCUUUCCUUGUUGAAAUUGAGCCUGUACCUUAAUUUAAGAGAUUUUACAAGACAACUUGGAAGUAAUCAUAAAAAAGCCAUUACAUUUCCCAAAAAGUUAGGAAUAAAACUAGACGACAAAAAAAGACAGCCAUAACGGUGUUAUAAGGUUCAAAAUGAGUUAACUUGCAUUUCAUUUAAAUUAAUUCAACAGGUCUGUUCAAAACAGACACAAUCCAGUCAGAGAAAUGAAUAUCAUCCAUCAGGAACAGACCCAUUUCUCAAAGAAAUCACAUUAUCCUGCAAUUUCUCACUUGAGGAAAAAUAACCUCAUGCACAUAACUGUAAAUGAGCCUUAACUGAGUCGUUUCCCAUAAGUCGCUGUGUGUGGAUGGUUAAACAAAUGAAAAAUAUCCACGCAGAAGUCAUUAGCUCAGUGAGAUCACUGAUCAUUACAGG